GAGAGACUCUGCCUUUUCAACAUGGAUGGCUCCUCCCGCUGCCGCUGCUGCUCCAGGAGACAACAGCAUUACAGAGCAUCAGUUAGGUGCAGAGACUGGGCAGUGCACCCGUGUGCAAAGACAGGAGACACGAAUCUUCCCUGAAGGAGUGACAGUCUAGGGAGGAAGGAAGACUGCAGGUGAGGUAACACCUGAGUCCUGUGUCCACCAGCUGCUGCUAAAUACCUCUGAGAAACUCUGCUUCUAUCUAAGGGGACCUACUUCUCUCGGGAAUCUCAAUACUUGAAAGAAGAACCUCCUGGAUGGACCCUUUGGCAAAAUGAAUUGGACCAACUGUAAGUUCCAGGACUGGAGAGCCAGCAAUGCCUCCGUGGACAAUCUCACCCAAUUACUCUGCUCAG
rnacentral:lncRNA from 1 species